CAUCUAAACCUUGUUCUUAGCUCUCACUUUAAUUCAAAUAAUUCCUUUGUAACUGAUGCCCCAUAGUAUAUUUCUCUCUUCUUCUCUCUCUCUUUUUUAUCCUUCCAUAAGGGUUUUCACCUUUUCGACUCUCUGGGUGAUUCAAAUUCACAAUUUUAGAGGUUUAGAGGUGAUGCAACGACAAAGCUAAUAGCCUGCAUGAGGGUUCAGUCAAAUUCAGUAGAAUUUUCUCAAAUAGUAUAUUUAUGUUGAUAAAUUCAUUAAAUAAAUAUAAGUAAAUUUUUUGAAUAGUUACAAUCACUUAAAAUCAUAAUUGUAAAAUUUAAAAUCUAUAAAGUUGAAAUUCUAACUUCGCGCCGUUGAGGUGAUGAGCAUGCUUAGCAUCUGAGUAAUCUCUCUUGUUGAUUCUUACUCGUUUAUUGAUUUUUAUUUAGCAUAAAUUCUAGGGUUUAAUUAAUAUUUUUUUGAUUUUUAUUGUUAUGAAGGAUGGAUUAUGAAUUAGCAGAGCUAACAUGGGAAAACGGACAGGUAGUGAUGCAUGGCUUAGGUCCUCCACGCGUGCCUAAUAAGCCUUUAUCGACUCCUUCUCCAACAAAAUACGCGUGUGACAAUAAACCAUAUGCUGCUGCAGGUGGCACACUUGAAUCCAUAGUGAACCAAGCUCAUCACCAGAAUUCCCCCGUGGACGGGGGUGGAGAUAGAGAGGAUGAUGAUUUCGUGAGUUGAUUUGAUGAUUGUCUUCCUGAAACUCAGACAACUACGGCCAUAGAUACUAUUGCCGUAGAUGCCUUAGUUCCAACAAGUUCCACUAACACGCCAAACUAUAAUCAGUGGCCCCAUCCACGCACGUGUCCGGGACGGGGAUGACCAACAAAUGUUUAGUUGACUGCUCCACACGUGUUGCAUCAUGCAGUGGUGAUGCGGAGAUGGCAGGUGUGGGAAUAGGAUCUAGCUUUGAGGAGAUUUCGAAAGACUUUGGGAUUACCGAGUCUUUCGGGAAUGAAGAGGUUAAGAACUUGAUCGAAUCAAUGGUAUACGAGGGACAACAUAACUAUAUGGCUGACCAGACCGUGAGUCGGGGAGACACUAUUGAAACGGGAGAGAGAAGUUUGGGUGCGUAAAGAGUACUUACCACAACAUCUACGGAGUCACCUGAGAACACCUUUAAGCAUAAUAAAAAUAAGAUCGUGAAUAAUCAUGAUUUCAUUUCUCAUAGCAGAGCUCAAGUAAGAAUAUGAUUUCCUUUUAUGCAUAGUUACAGUAUACUUCCUAUGAUUCCAUGCGGCACAACAUAAGUUUAUUUAGUAAUGUGAUUUUUCCUUAUAGAACUUAAUUGUUAUUCUAUUAGUAAUGUGAUUUUUCCUUUUUUAAGCAACUUUAUUUUUUAGAAAAUAUUUUUUAAAAUUUUUGACCAAUCAAACAUGAAAAGACAAUAUUUUCAGCCAAAUACUACCCUAGUAUCAUGCUAUUAUUAUUAUUUCACUGCCUUAGUAUCAUGUUAUUGUUUCACUACCAUAGUUUCAAGUUAUUGUUUUGGUAUAACCUUUUGUUAUUCGAAGUCCACUCCUACUAAUUCAAUUUUUUUCAGACCAAGUAAAAGGGAAAAUCGCACUGCUCUUAGUCAAAGUUUAAGAGCAAAUUUUUAUUGUUUGACUCUAAAAAGAAAAUCAUAAUAAUUAAAAGUGCACAAGAAAGUAUCAGUUAAUUUGAGUUAACAUGAAGUAAGAAAGAAAGAGAGUUUUGAAACUUAUAGCAACUUAAAAUAAGUGAUAGCAUUGUUUGUGGGAGAAUAGAAUAAUUAUUACUUUUUAAGUAGUUAUUCCUUUUCUUUAGUGAAGUGAUAUUACUAUUUUUUUAAGAUAUAUAUGUCAAAUUGUUGGAUAGUGUAUUAAACUUUGGUGUCAACUCACACAAGGAGUCAAAAGAUAAUGAGGAUGAGGAUGAGAAAAAAGGAUCCAAAAUUUCUUCAUUUUCAACAAAAAGGAGCAGAGCUGCUGCUACUCACAACCAGUCUGAACGAGAUCCGGUGAGCUCUACGAUCCUGAGAUCGAGAAUGUAGAAGAUCCACCAUUGAAGCCAAUGGUAAUUUGUGAGACAGAAACAAGGAUGGAAAAGAGGUCUUGAAUAUUUGAAGCAAUAGGAAACAGGGGAAUCAAACAAGGAUUGCUUUUAAAGGGGAUGCGAGAGAAAUCUCGACCCUUCAGAUCUGUCAUAUUCUCCAAAUAAGACUACUUGGAAGGGCAAAGAAGCAUUCACUACCAGUCAGUUACAAGCUGAUGUGAAGAAGAAGAGAGUGAAGCAACUGACAAUGAAGGGAAAAUGGCCCGUGGCUACUACUAUAUUUUUGAAUUUGCAAACUUUAAAUAUUAGAUUCCAAGGAUCGGUUGUAGAUUUGUGCCUAAGUAGCUUUUGGUUCAUUGUAAUGGUUUAUGACAACUUUUGAUGAAUCUUAUUAGGCCUUAUGUAAUGGAUUUAUCAACUUUUGUAUCAUUUAGUAAUAAAAAGAACAUGUUUGAAACAUUCAAAAA